rnacentral:rRNA from 1 species
UGGGGAAUAUUGCACAAUGGAGGGAACUCUGAUGCAGCGACGCCGCGUGAGUGAUGAAGGAAUUCGUUUCGUAAAACUCUGUUCUAUGGGAAGAAAAGGACUGUACCAUAGGAGAAAGCUCCGGCUAAAUACGUGCCAGCAGCCGUGGUAAUACGUAUGGAGCGAGCGUUGUCCGGAAUUAUUGGGCGUAAAGGGUGCGCAGGCGGCUUUACAAGUUGGAUGUGAAAUAUUGUGGCUCAACCACAAACGUGCAUCCAAAACUGCAAAGCUUGAGUUAAGGAGAGGUAAGUGGAAUUCCUGGUGUAGCGGUGGAAUGCGUAGAUAUCAGGAGGAAUACCGGUGGCGAAGGCGACUUACUGGACUUAAACUGACGCUCAGGCACGAAAGCGUGGGGAGCAAACAGG